AAAAACUGAAGAACGAGGAGCUGGUCAAAUCUCCAGUUCAGUUGGGCAAUGGCGAUGAUGGCAAUGGCUUGAAGCUCCGCGAUACUCCUCCAUAGCGAAAGAUGAACAACCGGUCUCGAUCGCACGCGAUCGUCUCGAACUUCGUCUCGGUGCACCCUCACGAGACCUCUCCUCUGCUCCAUGCCUCCUCCUGCUUCUUCUUCAUUCUGAGCGCCUACUUCAUGGUGCUCCCGCUGCGCGACGACGGCGCCAUCUCCCUCGGGCUGUCGAACCUCCCCAGCCUUUUCGUCGGAUCGUUGGCGCUCACUCUGGUCGCCGCCCCUGUCUCGACUCUCAUCUUCUCUUCGCCCAACCUCUCUAAAGGCAAGGCUCUGGUUUUGAUUCACAGGUUCUUCAGCAUAUCACUUGUCAUAUUCUUCACUCUAUGGCAGUUUUCCUCGCCUGGGUUUUCACUAUCCACAUGGAAGGGGCCUGUUGCUUUGUCCUCCACAACAGAUGAGGAGGCAGGAGUUGUCAUCAAUCAUGCCAGUCCUUCAACUCCCACGGGUGGGAAGGAAUAUGGAUGGUUUUUCGUGUCAGUUAGAGUGGGAUUGUUCCUCUGGGUUGCUUUGCUUAAUCUUAUCACCAUUUCGUCAACUUGGGCUAGAGUGAUUGAUGUGAUGGACAGUGAGUCAGGUUCAAGACUCUUUGGUUUCAUUGGUGCGGGUGCUACACUGGGCCAGCUGUUUGGCUCUCUGUUUGCCACGCUAAUGGCCUGGUUGGGUCCGCUGUUGCUUCUCUUUGCUGCCCUUUUUCUGGAACUUGCUGCACAAUCGUCAAAAGGGAUCAACCAAGAUUUAUCUAAUUUUCCUGAAGAGUUAUCUCCCAUCAGACAAAUUGAUCCUGACCAACAAAAGGACUCUGAUGGAAAGACCGAACCUGCUGUUUCUUCUCCUACAUCAGCCACUUCAGCGGUGAAGCCUCAGCUUUGGGCUAUCUUAGAUGGACUCUGGCUUAUUUUAUCCUCCACAUAUCUAUUAUAUGUCUCUUUAUUUCUCUGGCUGAGUGCAGUUGUCUCGUCAUUCUUCUAUUUUCAGAAAGUUACUGUGAUAGCAAUGGCUGUUUCAAGCUCAACUGACCGGAGAAAAUUGUUUGCCCAGAUUAACAGCUUCAUUGCCGUCUUCAUACUUGCUGGCCAACUCACGUUGACGGGUCGCAUUCUUGCUGUUGCUGGGGUUACUGUUGCUAUAUGUUCUACUCCUUUGGUUGCCUUGUCAAAUUUGGUCGUGGUUGCAGUUUGGCCUACUUGGGUAGCAGUUGCAAUUUCUGAGACCUUGCGAAAGGUUGUCACGUAUGUUGUUACAAGGCCUGGAAGAGAACUUUUGUUUACUGUAGUCUCACAGGAUGAGAAAUACAAAGCUAAGCUAUGCAUAGAUGUUAUUGUCCAGAGAUUAGGUGAUGCCACAGCAGCUGGAAUGUUUAAGUUGCUUUUUGGCUCUCUCAACGGGAAAAUAUCAACGGUCUCCCUAUAUGCCUUGCCUGUUUGUGUACUAUGGAUUUUCACGGCAUUCCACUUAGGGCGGCGCCAGGCACAGCUUGCACUACACAAGAAAUUUGAUAGUGGUGAUCAUAUCUCAUGAUGUUCAAGCUCAUCUUCUCAACGGAAGCAUCAAAUAUGCUUGGCCUCAAUGUGCGCAGUGGAACAGCUGCAGAACCAUUGACAUCUGUUGGCUUUUUCCAAUGGAGAAGCUGUCACUUCUUUCAAACUCCUCAAAGCAAUCAUAUACAUUAUACACCUGGAAGGAACUUCGUUUGGCUUUUUGAAAUCUGAUUUUGAUGACUGUAAUGUGGAUCUCAUGGAUGUGCUGCUUCUGUAUUAUUCGCACUCCAUUCGCUAGGAAAGUACAUGCUUCGUUUGCACCUGCAAGUGCUUCUGUCCUUGCCUGAAGCUUUCAUUCAGGCACUCGUUGUAGGCUCUUCUUUCAUUAAAUAACGAGUUGCUAUUAAAGCAAAACGAGUAUCCUAAAUCUGUUGAAUGGCUUAAAAGUUAAAACAAGUAAA